AGCAGCCGCGGUAAUUCCAGCUCCAAUAGCGUAUAUUAAAGUUGUUGCAGUUAAAAAGCUCGUAGUUGAAUUUCGGGAUUAGUACGUUGGUCGUGCCUUCGGUACGUACUGGUGUUACUGAUUCCUACCUUCUGACGAACCAUCAUGUCAUUAAUUUGGUGUGGUGGGGAAUCAGGACUGUUACUUUGAAAAAUUAGAGUGUUUAAAGCAGGCUCGCGCUUGAAUACAUUAGCAUGGAAUAAUGAAAUAGGACGUUGACCCUAUUUUGUUGGUUUCUAGGAUUGACGUAAUGAUUAAUAGGGAUAGUUGGGGGCAUUAGUAUUCAAUUGUCAGAGGUGAAAUUCUUGGAUUUAUUGAAGACUAACUACUGCGAAAGCAUUUGCCAAGGAUGUUUUCAUUAAUCAAGAACGAAAGUUAGGGGAUCGAAGACGAUCAGAUACCGUCGUAGUCUUAACCAUAAACUAUGCCGACUAGGGAUCGGAUGAUGUUAUUUUUAAUGUACUCAUUCGGCGCCUUACGG
rnacentral:rRNA from 1 species